AUAGAGUCGGUCUAAGCUGGAGGAUCCAGAACUUUUAAAACUGAAGCAGAAAGCUAAAGAGAUGCAACGAGCUGAGAUUGAAGAAAUGAGGCAGCGAGAAGCAAACAUGACUGCCCUAUUAGCUAUAGGGCCUCGGAAAAAGUUAAAAACAGAAUCCUCAUCUCUAUCCAAUCAGGUUGGAAACACUGAACCUCUAAAUGCUAGCAGUUCUGUGAAACCUCCUAUGCGGCCUCGAGUGAAACGUGUAAAUUUGAGAGACUUACUGUUUAUUAUGGAAAAUGAACACAAAACUGUUCGAAGGCCUCUUUUGUAUAAGUAUUAUGCCAGAUAAAAAUCACCCAUUUAUAAAAUUUCUAUUGGAACUGUGCACAGUAGUGCCAUUUACUGAGACUUUGUUGGAGCUGAAUAUGUGUUCAUCAGCUUAUGGUCCUGGUGACCAUUUGAGUGCAUUGAUUCAUUAAAUUCAGUGUGACUCUCUUUUAAUUAAUUAUCCAUCCAUUUGGCUUAGUAGUGAGAAAUCGUUGACUUUGAAAAUAGUCAGCAAAACUGUUCAAUUUGUUUCUGUUUCAUAGACUUUGCACUGUCUCCUGUCUAAUGUGGUCCUCAUACUGCAGUACUUAUAAGGAAUGUUAAUUUUUUAAUGAUUAUUUUCAUAUUUGUAGAAAUAUGAUACUCAAAUAAAAAAACUGUAGAGUUUUUUAAAAAAAUAAUUUAGUACAAUGCAGAUUUAAUUUGUAGCAUUAAAAACAAAGCAAAAAAAAAAGUGCUGAAUUUUAUGAAAAUUAUGAAUGUCACUUUUUAAAGUAUCAUUGCUGAAACUUUAUUUUUUACAUAUUUUAAAGAUAUUGUGUAUUUAUGUCCAGCAUUGUAUUUUGUGACUUUUUUGUGAUACAGGUAUUUCUCGUUUUAUACAAUUUAUCCGAGUUUGUAUGUUUAAAAUGAUCCUAUCUUGAAAAAAUGAUUAUUUAAAGGUGAAAUAGGACUAAUUCAGUGAGCUGAAUAUGGAAAAUGUAACUUCUUUUAAAAUUGUUUUAAAAAUAAAUUAUGUUUGGGUAUAUAUAUGUAUAUAUAAAACUCUGUUUCCAGUUUUAUCAUCUGAUUAAUAUAAAGUAAGAAUAAUCUAAUAUUUGUUAAGGGAAUCAACUGUUAUGAGUUAAGAUAUGAAAUUUAAAUCCUGGUUUAAAAGCUUAACUAUUGCUACUUUCUUUGAACAUUUCUAUGACUGAAAUAAUAUGGUAGUUCCAACUGUAGUUAUAAAUCGUGAUGUGCUGACAUAGUAUACUACUUUUUGAAACGUGUACAUUCUUUUCACUCUUCCAGUUUUUCUUGUUCAUUUGUGAAAAUUAAAUCUGGUAGUUAGCUGGUCAGAUUAUAUCCAGAAAUAUGAUUUUAUAGAAAAUAGAAUGUGCCAUUGUUGAGCACAUUGGUUCCUUCCAUAAUAUGAAAUAUUAACGUGUUUUAAAUAAUCAUUAAGGUUAUUUCACACAAGCUUAAAUUUUUGUAAUUAGUACCGUAUUAAAGAAAGUCUGUAGAACGGUGAACUAAAUUAAAUAUAAUAAUAGUUACAUAUAAAGCUGUAAAAUGAUACUGUGUCAAUUGUUUUAAAACGAGUGAUGCCUGUAUAUUAUUUUAAUGUUAAAAAAUAAACACAACAUGAAGGAAAUGUUUUAUUUUAGUAAAAUUUCCAUUGCACUAAUUUACAAAAAAUCAAGCUUUUUAAAGUAUCUUCCAAAUUUAUGCAAAGAAAUUGUGUUGUUGUUUGGUGUUCAUGCAGCAAUAUUUAUUCAUUACUUACAUAUUGCAGUGCUUGUGAACUUCUUUGAAACUGUCAAAAGCUUAGCAUUUUCAUUUGCCAUGGCAUCAUAUUUAAUAGAUGCACAAAUUAAAGUAUUAAUUUGUGUGCCUAUUACAUUAGACAUAUAUUUAAUAAAUUAAACAUUUAAGUAAAAUGAAAUUGUUAUAACUGUAUUGUUGAAAGCAUACUGAAAGAAUUUUAGAUAGCAAUUGUUAAAUGUAAUGUAUUUUUAUAAUGUGCAAUAAUGCUAAAUGAUUCUAACCUGGUUAAUUGUCCUGACACUGUCAAAGGUCUGAAGUGAGCGGUGCUUUUUAUAUACUUCAUAUUUGUAUUACUCUUUAGGGAAAUUACAGGAACUGCAUAUACAGAUAGCUUUUUCAGUUACCGGAAACAAUCAAGGAAAUGCUGCUGUUCCGCACUAACUGUCAUUUAUUUGUGAUCCCAAAAAUGACUGUCAUUGAAUAUUUCUGUGUGGAAUAAAAUACUAAAACUUGAUGGCAGUUGAAGAAUUGAUUUAAAAAUGGUGGACAUCCUUUCUCCUUUCCACGCACACACAUACAAGGACAAUUACAGAGCAAGAAAUCUAAGAAAAUGACUAUUUAAUAAGUGGCUUUCCUAUUUUCCCAAAAGACAAAUGUGUCUUUAAAUGACUUCUACAUGAGGCUUUGCUAGCAUGUUACUGAACACUCUUUACUUUUAGAAUGUGAGUAUCAAGAGCAGAUACCACCCCACAUUUGGAAUUCAUAUCUCCAGCAGCAGAUCCCGUACAGUUCAUAUUCUGAUCUCAAUGUGGUGUUCAUGCAUCCCAUGCAAAAAUCUUCUGUCUACUUAAUAAAAACUGCCGUUCAGUUUUCAAAUUUCAAAAUCUCGUAAAAUCAUCACUUUGUUAUUAUUUAAAAGUGAUUCAAUAAUUUAUAUCUACUCUCAUUUUAUAUAAUUUAUGUGUAAUUAGAUCGUAAAGAAUUAUAAGUUCUUGCCAAGAAUUCAGUUAUUCUGGGCUAAAUGUCAGUUUUAUUUUGGGAAGUAUCUAAUCAAAAGAUUGCAGAGUUUAUUUCUCUCCUUAAUUUAUCUUUUAUUCUUAUUAUUGAAUAUCUUGUAAUCAAAUAUAAAAGUUAUCUGUUUUCUUGCACUCUAUAAACCUUUGCGUGUUCCACCUGCAGAUUUUUCGAAUUGUACAAAUCCGAGCUUUGCUUUUAAAGUUUUUACUUUCAGCUUUUAAUCAAGUUCUCCACCUAAAUAGCUAUAACUUAGCAGAUCAUUUUAAAUUUAUCUUAAAUAAAUAAAAAUUGUUGUUUUGUUUUAUUUCAAAUAUAUGACUGAAUUUGAUUAUGAGCACUUGAGAAAAUAAAGCAAGUUGUAUGGUUUCUUCAAAAUAUUGUUUUUUUUUUUUUUUUUUAUUUAAUCAAUAUUUUAUUUAGUUCAUGAAAGUGGAAAGGAACUUAAAUUAACUGAGGCUGAAUUUUUCAAAUGUUUAUAUUGCACUAAAAUUUUAGUAUUCUUUUAACUCUGAACAUUUCAUAUCGAAAAUAAUUUCAAGGAAAUAAAAAUAUUUAUUGCAUGCAGGGGAAAAUGUAAGCUUUUGACUUUUAUGUAAUAUUACAUUUAUUUAACAAAUUCUGAAAUUUUUGUUUUGUGAUCUCUGCAAUACUUGACUAUAUAAAUACAAAAUGUGAUUGAAAUGCAUAUCAUAACUAUAGUAUUUAAAUUGUAUUUAGAAGUACAUCCUGCCUUUCUAUGAGGACCAUGCAUUAUUGCAAAAGAGCUUGUACAUUGCCUUUUUAUUGCAGCGAUUUUUGUAAUAAAUACUGCAAGAUACUAAGAAAAUUUAGAGAAAGGGUAAUUUGAAUUUAUGAGAGAUUCUGUUUGUAUAAAAGUUAAUCUUUUUUAAUUCUACAUUGUUAAUACCAUGAAUAUUGAAAACAAGUUUUGUUGUUUCACGUUAAUUGAAUUUUAAACUUUGUACAUAAGAUAUUUCAAGCUUUGAUUAUAAUGGAAAACUAUGAAUCUUUCUAACUAGUGUAGUAAAAUAUAAAUUUUUAUUCAAGUUACUGUUGUUACUAGCAUAUCACUGUUUUAGAGAUUUUUUUCUAAUUUGCUAUUUGAAUUUAAUUAAAUAUUUUUAAAUGUUUUCUCACACUUUUAUUUCAUUAUAACUUUCUUCUACACUGAAGUAAAUAUUUUUCCUAUUAUAAUUUAAAAUGUGUACUUUCUUUUAUUUAAUGGUAUUUUGUUUCCAAAAAUUUUUGCUACUUAAAUGUUUCUUCAAUAUCUAGUAGCAAAGUAACUUGAAGUGCUUAAACAAGUUGAAUAUAUAUGAAAUGUUUAAUAUAUUAUUAUUUUAAAAUUUUUAAUUAUUUAUCAAUUGUAUGAUUUGUACAGUAGCUUCAGAAAACAUCACUCUUAUUUGUGUCUUUAUUUAAAAUGUGAAGACUGUUUGAUGUGUUUUAGUGUAUAAUAAAUGAAUUUUAGUGAACAUAAUUGUGUUUUAGGACAAUUUAUAGUCAUUUUUCUUUGGUGUUUUUUAUCUUUUGCUGCUGUAUGUUUAAAAUAAAAUUGUGAAUAAAGUAUAUUGUUAUUUUGAUUGGUUGCCUGCAAGGUGUUGAAGAUCUUUAUGCUGGAGGGGGGAAAAUGUAUUGUACAUUUUUGCAUAAGUUCUUAAAUAUAAAUUUGUAAGCUUAUGCUGAUUUAUUUGUAACUAAACUUUAAAGUGUUGAUGAGUCAAAUAUUAGCACCAGUACUGAGACAGUUGUUUAAAGAAAAAGUAGGUAAUUUUUUUACUUGAGAAAGGACUUACUUUUUUUACUCGUACAAAUAAAAAUUAAAAUUAUGAGUGGUGGUAGUUGUUAGUUGACAGGAAUAAGUCUUUUUAAUGUUCAUAUAAUAAAAAUGCAUUGUGCAUAAGUAAAAGUUGUCUGUACAUCUUAUUUUGAAACAAGAGUUAUAAUACCGUUAAUUGUUUAUACCAUUAAUGGAAGAUCUUUCCCAAGCUGUAUAAAUAUAGCAAUCGCCAAAUUUUUAAUUCUGCUGCUUUUACAUAUUUUUGUGCGCAUUAAAAAUAAAAUCUAAUAGCUAAAAGCUUUUUGUAACGUAUAGCAUGCAUGUUUGUUUUUUAUCUUUAUGUAUAUAUAAUAAAUAUAGAUAUAUAGACAUAUAUGUCUAUAUUAUAUAUAUAUAAUUUUGUUCAAAUGUUAAAGUAUCUUUUAAUGUUUUCUUUUAUAUUAAAAAAAGACAUGAAAAACUGUUAAAAUUUAAAUUCUUGAGUGGAGUUUUAAUCGUAUUUAAAAGUAAAUACACAAUUUUAUCAUCUAGCAAAAGAGGAUGUUUUUAUUAAGAAAAGAUUUAAGCUUUUAAUAGCUCUUCUAUGUAAUCUAAAUUUUCAGGUAAAAAAAAAUUCAACAAGUUAUGUUUUUAUUUAAUAUGUUUGUUUUAUAAAAAAAAACUGAAUUAACAUAUGCACUUUAAAAAAUUUUUAAGGUUACUUAUUGAAACUAAUAGGAAUGAUCUUUCCGUCAUUUAUGAUUAUAAAAUCUGUUGUCUCUACAGAACAGAGGGGAUCCAAUAAUUUUAACAAAUUAGGAGAAUCAGCCCUCUUCUGAAGCCUUUGUUACCACAUUUAUGAGGCAAGCCAGAAGGAUAAUAACUUUGAAGUGCCUAUUUUAAAAAAACAGGUGAAUUUUCUAAACUCAAAGGAUAUUAAUAUAUAAAGUAUAUAUUGCCUAACACCAGUUCAGUUCAUGUUUUUAAUGAGAAGAUCAUAAAAAAUAUGAAUUUUAUGUUUUUAUGAGAAAUAUAAGUUUUCACUAAUGUUAAUAAUUUUUUUUUUUAUCUAACAGUUUAUUUUAUAUAAUAUAUAAGUUUUGACUAAAGUUAUUUUAAAGCUUUUACAUUUGGCAAUGUACUGUCAUCUUUACCAGUGCUAAUGUUUAGUGAGAUUGUGUAAAGUAUUUAAUCUUCAUCGUUAAGAUGUACAUUUCUAUAACUGAAAUACUUGAUUAAGAACUCUUUUCAUAUGUUAGAAGUGUUUUGUAUUCUAAAAGGGCUGUCUCAUAUUGUUUAGUGAUAAUGCUCUUUUAGAAUAGUGUAUCAUUAGUUUGAAUAUUGUGAUGAAUACCAGUGAUGUAUAGUAUUUGAGUAAGUACUUGUAAAUGUGCUAAAAGAAUAGAUAAGUGAUUAUGUACCUAAUUUCAAGUGGUAUUUUCUUGCUCUUGUGAUUAUUUUAACUUUUAGUUAUAUGCUGUAAUUAUUUUUUCUUUUACUUCUGGCACUUUUAUAAUUUAUUGAAUUUUAAAAUGUGUGCCAUUUUUAUUAGGUAAGACGAAACAUAUGGAAGAAUUAAUGUUUUCAAAUAUUGGAUAAAAGGAGUUCUUAAUUUCUGGCAGUUAAAAUACUCAUGAAAUAAUUUUUAUAUUAUGCUAGCCUAUGGCCAUUUAUUGUGUAAUUUUAUUGGUAAGCAUACAUAUUUUUUUCUUCAAGACUUAAUGUAUUGGGCUGGAUAUAAAUUUUACAAAAGAGCUGAUCAAGAUCAGCAGGAUUAUUAAGUUGCUGUGACUAUAUGUGUGUGUUUAAAGUAUUCUGCAAUGUGUCCAUCUUUUAGAAGUAUCUCUUUCAUUUUGUCAAAUAUCUCCAUCUUUUGUAUUAGCAAUAAUCUUAAAUACUGGAAUUAUAUAUUCAUGGCAUCAGUUCAGAAUGUUUUCUUUCUGAAAUAGGUACAAGUCUUGAGCUUGAAUUCUUGAUUAGAAAUCUUGAACUUUUUGAAAUGGCAACAACUCUUGAGCUGUUUUAGCUCAAAAGAGAAGUUACCCAUCUUCAUAUUAAAUUAUUUAAGAAUCCAUAUGCAAGAUAGUGAAUAUUCCUUAUUUGAUCUAAAAAAUAAAUAAACUGAAUGCUUCAUUGAUUAAAAUAUUAAUUCAGGUGAAUAGAGCUUACUUAAACUCUGCUCUUUUAACAUUAAUGAUUUUCUUUAAGAAUAAGAUUUAUAGGAAUGGAAAAGGAGCAUCUUUAAUGGUUUACUUUUCAAAGAAUAGAUAUAAUAAUACAUCACAAUUCUUUCCCUUCCCAAUUUGUAUUUACAACAUAAGAGAUCAAUUGCCUGUUAGUGUGUAUAUGUAUAUAUGUUACGUAAAAUGUAUGUGUAUAUGUAUGCAAUGGAAAAUAGUUAAAGCAUUCAAGUAGGCAGUCUCUUAAAAACAUUAUAGCUGCAGCUAAUAGCUUUCUGUAAUUAUCAUGUUAUAAAUCAGAAGCUGUAAAAAAUUUUUAUAGUAACAUAAUAGGAAUUAUUGAAAUUUAAUAUUUAUUUUUUGCAAAAAGUAGAAAUUAUAUAAAUAAUAAAUAUUAAAUUCUUUGUACUGUUUUUUAAGAAAUCAGGUUAUAUAAGCAAAAUUAUUUUUUAUACAUUUAGGAAGAUUUUUUUUAAAUAUAUAUGCUCAUCUCUGUGUGUGUGUGUGCAUGUAUGUAUAAAGGGACAUGAGAUCAACUGAAUAAAAAGGAAGAAAUUAGAAGGAAAGACUCAAAGAGGCAGAAACUGAAAUUUAAGAAAAAUUUUUAAUUAUUUGACUAAAGAAUUAUUUAUGUAAAAGUAGAAAUUUUCUUUAUAAACUUUGUUCCUGCAUAUGGGACAUUCUUCCUUCAGAUUACAAGAAGAGGGUAUGUUUGUACAUCGUUCAUUGUAAGUAAAAACUGAGAUUGUAAUCUGCUUUGGCAAUUUGUGUUAACAAUCAUCUACAGCUUGAUGUUGUAUAGUCUAUUCCAUAGAGUUAUUUAAAAAUUCAGUUUAAUUAACAAAAGGGGAAAAAGCUGAACUGUUUAUCAAAUUCAACUACUUUUUCUCUAAAGUACUAUUCUUCGUGUGUUAUAUUUUAAUGGUUAUGUAUUAAAGUAUUUAAUCAUUCGUUAAUUGCUAACUGUGAGUGAAAUUUAAAAUUUUGAAGAAUUAGCUCUCAGUUCUUAAGUAACAUAUGUCUUCACCUUUUUAGUACUUUUUUUUUCCCCCAAAUGUUUCUGAGGUUUCUUAGUUCUGUUAGUUUUAGUUUAAACAUUGUGUCCGAAAAUAAACAAAAUUUUUUAGAGAUGGUUUUAAAUUACAUUGCUCUUUAGACAGGAAUAUUAGAUUUAUGUUUAUCACUGUUUCCAUCAGAUGUUUAAAAAAAUUGUAAAACUUUUUAUAUCAUUUUAUAUUUUAGAAGUUUGCCAAUUGUAGGUCCAUCAGCUGAUUGCUUUUAAUUAACACAAUUAUUCUGUUGGAUAAAUUUUUAUUUUUUCCUUAUCAUUUCACAGGAUUUUUUUAAAUUAACUAUAGUACGAUUUUUGAUUUUUAAUAAUAGGUAUCACAAUAAUAUGAAACAAUUUGAAUCUGUCAUUAGAAUUCACAGUAGGAAAUGAUGGUGGGAAAAUUUUUACUUCAGUUCCUUUUCAGAAAAAUUAAAAGAUUCUGUAUUUAACAAAAACAAAAGUUCUGUGUGAGAGAAACAUUUUAAUCAAGAAAGAAUGACAGGAUUGUGUAUGAUUUUUUAAUUGUAAUUAUUACAACUGCUUUAUCUUUUUAUUCGAGGAGACAAAUCAAGGCAUUAUAUGUCCUUUUAAUCAGGGUGGCUAAUUUGUUUUAAAGUGCCAUGAUGUAAAAAAUGGCUAAUAAGGCACAUUUUGUUAUGAAUUAUAUGUUAUUUGGCUUAUUGAUAAUUCAGAAUUAUGUUAUUCCAUGUGAACAUUUUAUCAAGUGGAAUGCAUUAACACCUUUAAUAAUUAUUAUAUCAGGGUAAUAUUAACCCUUUGACUACGAGUUUUAAAAAAAGGAAUUUAAUUAAAAUUUGAUUUUUUACCCUAUUUUCUAUCCAAGUGAACAAAAUAUAUCAUAAAUGAGUUAAAUUUCGCAUCUGAGAUUUAUUUGACAAACAGUUUUCAAGGCAAAGGGGGGGGACACAUAUCUCUCAGCCAUAGUUAAUGGUAAGAUAUAUAUAUCAGAUGCAUAGCGAUCGACUUACUAUAAGCACAUCUAUUAUUCUAAAAAACUUUUCUAUGAAAUAGAUUUAUAGCAUAUGGUACAGUUGUUUAAUUCUUUGUUCACCUACAAAAGUUGUUUUUACAUAAAUAAAAAGAAUAAUUUCGUAAUUUUCUGUUAGUAUAAAGAGUUUGGCCUCAGUCAAGAUAAGCCAUCGUACAUAUACAUAUGCACUUAUUUUAUAUUUCUUUGAUUUAUUACACAUACCAACAUGCAAUUAUUUAAUUCAUAUAUUUUAUUAGUAUCACUUAUUAUAUUAAUAGUAACUGGAUCUUAUAUUAAGAUGUAAUAUGUGAUUAAUGUCAUAAAGCUCCUUUGUUAAAAAAAAAAAAAAGUAUAUAAGCAUUUAUUACAAAAGGUAUUAAUUUGGUAUGUUAGCUUGUUGUAACAAUUCUUCUAGUAUAUCCUUCAGUAAUACCAUUAUUAGUUAAUACUUGUAUCUGAAAUAGGGAAAAUUGUUGAAAAUGAAGCAUUUUGUUUUCUAUUUAGCUGAACUAUUGCAAAUUUAAAAAGCUUUAAAUUUAGAAAUAUAUAAAGAAUAUUAAUAUUUUUUGUUUAUGAAUGUAUGGAACUGAAUGAACAAGGGAAAUCAAAAGAAUUAGAUUUCUGAAAAUAUAUUUGAUUAAGUUACGGUGAAUCUUUAAAUUUCUUUCCAUUCUAGAAAAUUGCUAUAUGCUACAAUAUCUAUAUUCGUUAUUGAAAUGAUUAUUGAUAGUAGUUAGUUCUUAAUAUAUUUUCCUUUCAUCUGAAGAUACGGAGUUAGCAUUAUAGUGAUUUAUGCAAUUAAAACAGUUAUGUUGAAUACAACCUAUUCUAAAUUUUUGGCAGUUUAGAUAAAAGUGAUGUCAAUAAGUUCCUUUAAUAAUAAUAAUAAAAAAAUUCCUUAGUGUGAAUAUGUGAGAUGAUACAGAAGGAAAAGAUAAUGUUAUUUUAUGUUUUAUUAUUUUCGAAAGACGUUCUGAAUAUUUUUUUAAAAAAAUUAAUGUAUAAUAAAUUUUUAUCAAUUCUACUUUUUUUUAUCAGGGUAUCUUAUGUUAUUUAUUAUAUUAUGGGGAAAAUUCAUUUUCCUUCAUUUUGUAAUGAUUUCGACUUUAUUGUAAAUCAUAAUUUUAAUCUUCAUGAGAUAAUUUUUUAGUAAUGUGAAUUAUCAGCUAAGUUUUCUUAAAUGUUAACGGAUUGUAUUUAAAGGAACUGCCUUUUUUUUUUUCAGGUAAACACCAUUUAUUUGGAUAUUUAUUCAUUCACAAUUAAGUAUAAUAUUUUUUAAAUACCCAAUUUUGAUAUAAUACCACAUAGUGUUGUGAAUUCAAUUUUGCAGUACAAUAAGUGUGUCUGGUUUAAUCUUUUGAUUACAUGUUUUAACCUGAAGGAUAAAUCCUGUUAUGUGCUGAAUAUCCUCUUCAUUCCAAUUGUUUGCUUAUUUCAGAUGAUUUUUAUUGUUUUAAAUCAUGUACAUUGAAUUUCCUACUUCAUUACAUGUGUACAUUGAAUAUUUUCUUUUAAGGUAAACUAAUAAGUGAAAUGUUUGCAUAUAACUCUUAAAUUUCUUUCUUUUGGUGAAAUGUAAGUAUUAUAUGAAAUUAAUCCUGAUAUUGUAUUUGCAUUUCAUUUAUUGGUAAAUAUAGGUAGAUAAUUGUUUUAAUAUUAGAUCAGAGUUUAAAUCUCAAUGAAUUAUGUUUUAUGAUGUAUACACAUCAUUUUAUGUAGAGAGAUUUUAUGUUUCUUUUUAGGCGGAGUGAAUUUUUAAAAUGUCAUUGAAUAGUGAUUUAUGUAUUCAUUUUUAGUUUACACCUUUAUUGAAAUAAAUUAUAGAUGCUGAUCAGAAUUGGAAUUCAAGAUAUGCAACUAAACCACUUUUCAGAUUAAAUAUUGACAUGUUUUUCAUUUUGACUAUACCAAGGAAUAGAUGGCUGUGUACUGAACUCUUGCUUGCAUCUGAUGUAUUUCAAUUGUAGAUGGUGGUCUUUCUGAUACUGUGACUAUGAAUUAGAAGUAAUCGGUUUUUAUUUUCCGUUGAAAGCUUAUUUCAUUUGGGAUGAAUUAGAAGUAAUUGCUUUUUAUUUUCCGUUGAAAGCUUAUUUCAUUUGGGGAAUGUUAAUAGAAAAAUGCAGAAUUUAAAGAUAGUAUUAGAUUUGAAUUUUAUUCAAGUGUUUAAAAGUUUUUAAAUAGCAAAAUGUGCAUGUAAAUAUCCAUUUUGAGUACAGACACGAUUUUUGUAACAUUGGAAAAAUAUCUUGUGAAGUGUUCAUGUUUGCAUUGCUGGGCAAUGACAGUUACUUAGAUCUUUAGUAGGAACUAUUAAUUUUAUGCCUUGGGGUAUAAAGUAUGUUUGUAUUUGCUAAUUGCAAAUGCAUUUGUAAAUUAUAUACAUAUAUGUACAUAGAUUUGUUUCCUUCUCCCCCUUUUUUUUUUCAUCCUAACAAAUCAUUUAAGUUGGGGUGGUUAAUCAAGAUUCUUCUAUUUUUUGGGAGCAUCAUACAUUGAAUUGAACAUCAUCCAUUAAGUGUUAUCUAAUUUUCAUUUUUAUAAUGCACUGUCUGCAGACUGAUUUUUUUGUGGUCAGUUCCUUAGACAACUAGUUGAAAGUAUUUCACCAACUUCUAUUUUUCAUAUUAUGAGUUUCAUUACCAGAGGUUCUAAUACCAUUGCUUGUAACAUAUAUUUUUCCAUCAUAUUAAUACUGUAUGAAUACUGCAAGUGUUCAGAGUUGUGAUGAGAAAUUUUGAAAUAAUUAUUUUAAUACAUUGUGCCUUAAAACAUGUUGAACCAUAACUCGAAAUGAAGAUGCUCUUCUAAACAAGCAUCUACAUCAUGUGAAUAUAAUAAUGUUCCUGUUUAAAUUCAUAUAGUUAACAUUUUAUUUUCUCUGUGUUUAUAACUUGUUGCUUUUAAAUUUAAUUAUAUUUGCUAAACUCACUUUUGAUUUUUAAAAAUUAAUAGAUUUGUUGUUUAGUUACAAAGAUUGAUAUUGAAGCUGAAUCAUUAGAAUGUAAGUAAUGCUUUAAACAAUUUGCAUUAUUUUGAUGUAAGGUUGUUUAGAGUAUGCAAAAAUGAUACUUGUUAAUUUUCUUCUAAUAUUAAAAUAUGUUGCAUUACAUUGCCUUAAAAUUUUAUUCUCAUCAGAAGUAGGAUUAAUUUUUUAGAGCUUCAUGAGUAAUUAACCUUUUUACAAAACUCAUUAUUUUGCACAUAAAAAUGUAAGGAGGAAUUUAUUUAGUAUUUAUUGGUAUGUUCCAUAUACCAUGAGAAGUACAAUUAUUCAGAGACUAAAUUAGCAUGUGCUGUCAACUAUAUCUGAUAAUUUUUAAUAUUUUAUUUUAUUCAUUUUGUAAUAUAAAUCCAUAAUUAUUAAUAACAUAAAUGUGUGAAUAAAUUUCUCAUUGGAGAUAUCAUGUACUUUGUAAUGGAGCAAAAAACUAUGUAAAAUUUUAUGAAUUGUAAGUAUAUACAAAAUAAAUCUUUUAUUGUAAAAAAAAAAAAGUUUAACUUUGUUGGAAAA
rnacentral:lncRNA from 1 species